GAUGAAGAACGCAGCGAAAUGCGAUAAGUAAUGCGAAUUGCAGAAUUCCAGUGAGUCAUCGAAUCUUUGAACGCACAUUGCGCCCUUUGGUAUUCCGAAGGGCAUGCCUGUUCGAGCGUCAUUAUCACCCCUCAAGCCCCCGGCUUGGUGUUGGACGGUUUGGCGGAGGCCCUCCGGGGCCCUUGCCCCUCCCAAAGACAAUGACGGCGGCCUCGUUGGACCCCCGGUACACUGAGUUCUUCACGGGACACGUACUGGACUAAGGGUGCGCGGGGCACGGUCUGCCUCCCCUCAGGGAGAAUCUUUUUUUACAAGGUUGACCUCGGAUCAGGUAGGGAUACCCGCUGAACUUAAGCAUAUCAAUAAGCGGAGGA
rnacentral:misc_RNA from 1 species